rnacentral:rRNA from 1 species
AUGAGAGUUUGAUCCUGGCUCAGAACGAACGCUGGCGGCGCGCUUAACACAUGCAAGUCGAACGAGAAGGCGUAGCAAUACGCUUGUAGAGUGGCGAACGGGUGAGGAAUACAUGGGUAACCUACCCUCGAGAGGGGAAUAACCAGCCGAAAGGUUGGCUAAUGCCGCGUACGCUUCCCAGUCUGCGGAUUGGGAAGGAAAGCUCUGCCGUGGGCAGGGCGCUCAAGGAUGGGCUCAUGUCCUAUCAGCUUGUUGGUGAGGUAACGGCUCACCAAGGCUUCGACGGGUAGCUGGUCUGAGAGGACGAUCAGCCACACUGGCACUGCGACACGGGCCAGACUCCUACGGGAGGCAGCAGUGAGGAAUAUUGCGCAAUGGGCGAAAGCCUGACGCAGCGACGCCGCGUGGGGGAUGAAGGUCUUCGGAUUGUAAACCCCUUUCGGGAGGGAAGAUGGGACGAGCAAUCGUUCGGACGGUACCUCCAGAAGCAGCCACGGCUAACUUCGUGCCAGCAGCCGCGGUAAUACGAAGGUGGCAAGCGUUGUUCGGAUUUACUGGGCGUAAAGGGAGCGUAGGCGGUUUGGUAAGCCCU